rnacentral:misc_RNA from 1 species
UAUGAAGAACGUAGCGAAAUGCGAUAAGUAAUGUGAAUUGCAGAAUUCAGUGAAUCAUCGAAUCUUUGAACGCACCUUGCACCCUUUGGCAUUCUGAAGGGUAUGCUCGUUUGAGUGUCAUUGUACUCUCACACUCCCGAUCUUUGCAUUGGGAGCAGUGGACUUGGGUUUGCUGCUUCACCGUCGCUUACCUCAAAUAGGUUAGUGCAACUCUUGGUUGGACAUAGUACGGCGUGAUAAGUGUUCUUCGCCGGUGCCUCGCAAAGAGGGUGGCCGAUCGGGAUGUUGUGCUCCAAACCGUCUUCGGACAAUCUCUGACGACUUGACCUCAAAUCGAGUAAGACUACCCGCUGAACUUAAGCAUAUCAAUAAGCGGAGGA